rnacentral:rRNA from 1 species
UACAGAGGUCCCGAGCGUUGUUCGGAUUUAUUGGGCGUAAAGGGUGCGUAGGCGGCGGAGUAAGUUGGGUGUGAAAUCCCGGGGCUUAACCUCGGAAUUGCAUUCAAUACUGCUUCGCUCGAGUACUGGAGAGGAGGCUGGAAUUUACGGUGUAGCAGUGAAAUGCGUAGAUAUCGUAAGGAAGGCCGGUGGCGAAAGCGGCUCACUGGCCCGGUACUGACGCUGAGGUGCGAAAGCGUGGGGAGCAAACAGG